GAUGAACGCUGGCGGCGUGCCUAAUACAUGCAAGUCGAACGCAUUGUGGUUGAAAUGAUAUGAAGAACUUGUUCAGAUUUGAUUUUCAACAUUGCAAUGAGUGGCGAACGGGUGAGUAACACGUGGGAAACCUACCUCUUAGCAGGGGAUAACAUUUGGAAACAAAUGCUAAUACCGUAUAAUAAUUAAAACCGCAUGGUUUUAGUUUAAAAGAUGGUCUUGCUAUCACUAAGAGAUGGUCCCGCGGUGUAUUAGUUAGUUGGUGAGGUAAUGGCUCACCAAGACAAUGAUACAUAGCCGAGUUGAGAGACUGACCGGCCACAAUGGGACUGAGACACGGCCCAUACUCCUACGGGAGGCAGCAGUAGGGAAUCUUCCACAAUGGACGAAAGUCUGAUGGAGCAACGCCGCGUGUGUGAUGAAGGGUUUCGGCUCGUAAAACACUGUUGUAAGAGAAGAAUGACAUUGAGAGUAACUGUUCAAUGUGUGACGGUAUC
rnacentral:rRNA from 1 species